rnacentral:tRNA from 2 species
GACCGGAUAGCUCAGUUGGUAGAGCAGGAGACUUUUAAUCUUCAGGUCGUGGGUUCGAUCCCCACUCCGGUCA